UUUUCGAGGGGGGGGAUGCGGAAGGAUCAUUAUCGAGUGGCCGGUCCUUUGGGCCCAGACCUAUCCCAUCCGUGUCUAUUGUACCCUGUUGCUUCGGCGGGCCCGCCGCUUGUCGGCCGCCGGGGGGGCGCCUCUGCCCCCCGGGUCCGUGCCCGCCGGAGACCCCAACACGAACACUGUCUGAAAGCGUGCAGUCUGAGUUGAUUGAAUGCAAUCAGUUAAAACUUUCGGAACAAUGGAUCUCUUGGUUCCGGCAUCGAUGAAGAACGCAGCGAAAUGCGAUAACUAAUGUGAAUUGCAGAAUUCAGUGAAUCAUCGAGUCUUUGAACGCACAUUGCGCCCCCUGGUAUUCCGGGGGGCAUGCCUGUCCGAGCGUCAUUGCUGCCCUCAAGCCCGGCUUUGUGUGUUGGGUCGCCGUCCCCCUCUCCGGGGGGACGGGCCCGAAAGGCUAGCGGCGGCACCGCGUCCGAUCCUCGAGCGUAUGGGGCUUCUUGUCACAUGCUCUGUCAGGAUUGGCCGGCGCCUGCCGACGUUUUCCAACCAUUCGUUCACAGGUGACCUCGGAUCAGGAAAGGAUACCCCCUUAAUUUACGUGUAUUAAUAAGCGGAAGACGGUGUAAUAUGAUCCCAUUCUCUCCCAUAACUAACAUACGUGUAUGUUGAAUCACGUCUUAUUUAAAGCGCUUCGCUCCCUGUGAGUACCCCCCCCGGAUUCCUUCCUAUCUUCACUGCAUCUGCUAAGCACCUCUUCUACUUUGAUCUCACUCUAGCAAAGUAAAUUUGGCUGCUCAGAUACAGGUAUAUCCCCCAUUCUAUUACAGGGCAUUUUACAGACUCUCCUCCCCCACCAUUAUACGAGAAAUCAUUCGAAAUAACUAUCAUAUCCACUGUAGUACCGCAGCUGUUCCCAAAUAAUUAUCCAAUAGUUAAUUCGAUAAUUAUCCUCUAUAUAAACAAUCCUAAAAAACUAAAAAUUACACCCCUCUAGCGUGCCUCGCCACAGCAGAUGUCCCAUCAGUGCGCCGAAAUAUCUAGAAAA
rnacentral:rRNA from 1 species